AUGGGCAGGUUGAAGGUUGGGUAACACUAACUGGAGGACCGAACCGACUAAUGUUGAAAAAUUAGCGGAUGACCUGUGGCUGGGGGUGAAAGGCCAAUCAAACCGGGAGAUAGCUGGUUCUCCCCGAAAGCUAUUUAGGUAGCGCCUCGUGAAUUCAUCUCCGGGGGUAGAGCACUGUUUCGGCUAGGGGGCCAUCCCGGCUUACCAACCCGAUGCAAACUGCGAAUACCGGAGAAUGUUAUCACGGGAGACACACGGCGGGUGCUAACGUCCGUCGUGAAGAGGGAAACAACCCAGACCGCCAGCUAAGGUCCCAAAGUCAUGGUUAAGUGGGAAACGAUGUGGGAAGGCCCAGACAGCCAGGAUGUUGGCUUAGAAGCAGCCAUCAUUUAAAGAAAGCGUAAUAGCUCACUGGUCGAGUCGGCCUGCGCGGAAGAUGUAACGGGGCUAAACCAUGCACCGAAGCUGCGGCAGCGAACGUAUCACCCAAGACAACUUUACGGAGUUGACGAUUGACGGAGCGAAGCGACGUCAAAGCGUUCAUUAAAGUCGAGUUGGCUUAGGGAUACGUUCGUUGGGUAGGGGAGCGUUCUGUAAGCCUGUGAAGGUGUGUCGUGAGGCAUGCUGGAGGUAUCAGAAGUGCGAAUGCUGACAUAAGUAACGAUAAAGCGGGUGAAAAGCCCGCUCGCCGGAAGACCAAGGGUUCCUGUCCAACGUUAAUCGGGGCAGGGUGAGUCGACCCCUAAGGCGAGGCCGAAAGGCGUAGUCGAUGGGAAACGGGUUAAUAUUCCCGUACUUGGUGUUACUGCGAAGGGGGGACGGAGAAGGCUAUGUUGGCCGGGCGACGGUUGUCCCGGUUUAAGCGUGUAGGUGUGUGUUCCAGGUAAAUCCGGUU
rnacentral:rRNA from 1 species